AAUGGAACAGGCAUUGGAGCUUCCAAAGCUGCCCUCGACAACAACUCACAGGUCACCCUACCCCUCUCCUACUGGUUCCCUCUCACUCCAUAUUACCCUCUCUUCUUCCUCUUUUCCUCUUCCUCUUCCUCUUCCUUCCUCUUCCUCUAUCAUAUACCACUAUUUCCUAUUUCUCUUUCUCCCUGCCUCAUGACCCCCAUUUCUGGCGCUAUUAUAAGAAGAUUUGAUCGAGACUGCAAGAUUGGGACUGGUUCUUCUCCAGUCAAGCAGUGGAGUUGCAGUUAAGUUCAUCCACCGAUAAUCUACUCCAUUCAACACCGUAGUUGUUUGGAUCAAGAGUCUAGAAGGUUCCCCCCUGAUGAGAAGGCAGCUAAUGGUUACGUUUGAACAGAAUUGAUUCUAUUCUCUGAUUUUUCUGUUUUUCAUCAUCAUUUGUUAUUAUUCUUGUAUCGAUGCUCUAUAAAAGGGCGUUCAUAGCCUUUAAUUGAAAUGUGAAGAAAUCUUCUCACCUUUUCUCUGUGUGUGUUCCUUUCUCUGCUCUGUUAUGCUCCACUGCAGUUUAUCAUGGUAUCAGAGCAUUGAACCAUGGCAAACACACAAAUACCUCCUGUCCAACCAAUUUCUGAGGCUGCAACUGAUAUCAACUCUGUUGACUUCUCAAGCCCUUUUUUUCUGCAUCACUCGGACAACCCUGGGACUGUAUUGGUCUCUCAACUUCUGACGGGUGAAAACUAUGCAACUUGGAGCCGUGCAAUGCUCAUGGCUCUCUCAGCCAAGAACAAGACCUCGUUUGUAGAUGGCAGUCUUCCUCAACCCAAAUCCUUGGCACCUGAGUAUUGUCUGUGGAAUCGCUGGAAUCACAUGGUACUUUCCUGGCUCUUAAAUUCCAUUUCUCCUGAUCUUAUGCACAGUGUUAUCUAUGCCUCAACGGCAAUAGAAGUCUGGAACGACCUCAAAGAAAGAUUCACCCAAAGCACUGCUCCCAGAAAAUACCAAAUCAAAUCUGCCAUCUGUCGAUUGAAAGCAUUGUGGGAUGAGCUGGACCCUUAUGAUAUUUUACCUAACUGUUCAUGUGGUGCUCUGAGCAAAAUAUUUGUCAACCAGCAAGAAGACAAAGUCAUUCAGUUUCUCAUGGGUCUGAACGACUCCUACAACACAAUCUGUGGUCAGAUCAUUUUAAUCGACCCUCUGCCAUCAAUCUCUAAGGUUUACUCACUGGUUCUUCAAGAGGAGAAGUAGCGUGAAGCGAGAAACUCCUCCAAUCCAGUCGAACAUGUGAGCUUGCUGUCAAAUUCAGACAAUAGAUCAAUGAGAAGCAAAGGGAUCAGGAAAAACCAAUACCUCUGCAACUACUAUCACAUCUCUGAACACACAAGAGACCAUUGCUUCAAAUUAGUGGACUAUCCCACAAACCCAAAAGGAUCAAAGUUGAGGGCUGACAAGGGUGCGACUGCGAACAGCGUUGUUGAUUCAGAGAAGAACGGUGGAUGUGGCACUGCAUCCAAUGCUGCUGGUUCAUCUUAAAUUGGCAUUGAAGCUGCCAAAGAGCCUACCCAAUCCCUGACUGUGGAUGAGUGUAUCAAAAUUAGGCAACUCCUGAAAGACAUUUUUCUACCUCAAGUGAACUUUGCAGGACCGGAACUCCAUGAUGAAGACUGGUCAGGGUGACUUGCGGAAUGGACUGUAUGUUGCAAAUUUCCUCAACAACUCCUUGAACUCUAUGGCCUUCCACAGUAGUAGGUUUAUCUCACCAGAAAUGUGGCACAUAAGGCUAGGGGGCACAUAAGGCUAGGACACCCGUCAAUAUCCAAAGGCCAUCUCUUCUUGAAAUAUGACUCUGGUAUUGAGCAGUCGAACAAGCAUUGUGACACUUGUAAACUGGCAAAACAGACCAGAUUACCUUUUAACUCUAGUGAAACUGUUUCUACUGCUAUUUUUUAACUUGUCCACUGCGAUAUUUGGGGCCCAUACCCUGAAGCAUCACACUCUGGUGCAAAAUAUUUCCUGACUUUGGUUGAUGAUUUCUCUUGCACUGUGUGGGUCAUCCUUAUGAAACACAAAAGUGAGACUUCCUAUCAUCUGAAAAAUUUUAUAAACUUGAGCAAAAAUCAGUUCAGCGCCAAUGUACUGAAAAUCAGAUCAGGCAAUGGCACUGAAUUUUUUUAUGACAAUCUGAAAACCUUUUUACUUGAAAAGGGGAUUGAACACCAUCAUUCAUGUGUUUAUACCCCUCAACAAAACGGUGUUGUCGAAAGGAAACAUCGACACAUUCUUGAUGUUGCGCCGAGCACUAAAAUUCCAAUCAAGUGUUCCGCUAAUCUUCUGGGAUGAGUGUGUUCUCACAGCAGUAUACUUAAUAAGCAGAACACCAUCCUCGUUAUGCAGAACAAAACACCAUAUGAAAUCUUAAUGGGAAAGAAACCAGAAUAUUCUCACCUCAUGUCUUUUGGUUGCCUUUGCUAUGCAACUAACAUUUACCCCAAAUCCAAGUUUGAUCCCAGAGCCAUUCGAUGCAUCUUCUUGGGCUAUCCUCAGGGACAAAAAGCCUACAAGGUGUGUGAUUUGCAAACCAAAAGAGUUUUCACUAGUCGUGAUGUUAUAUUUUACGAAAAUAUAUUCCCAUUUAAACUUGUUGAAAAACCACAAGUAUCACCUGUUCUUCCACUGCCUCUUACAGAUGAUCACAUGGAGCCAAUUGAUGGUCGUUUAGCCACCAAUAACCCAAGGGCCCAGCCACCUCAGUAUGACACAACUUUCCCUUCAUCAGAAUCACAUUCUCAAUCACAAAAUCAAAACCAUCUUGAAACCGACUCCACCGAAAACUCUCAAGUUGUAUAAACUGAAACUGAACCUGAACCAAACUCAUUAACUCAUCCUAACUUCAGCACAGCCAUGCAGCCAAAUACUGCCCAACCUUGUGAACUGAGACGCUCCACCAGGCUACGCAGACCAUCAGUACUCUUGAGAGAUUUUUACUGCAAUGCAACUGUCCUAAAGUCACUCAACCAAUCUUCAUAUGGAAAUCGGUCCAGCACAAGGUAUCCUCUCUCCAAUUCAUUAUCUUUCUCUAAUUUCUCUGAUUAUCAUGCUGCCUACCUUUUAAAUAUCUCUUGCUAUACCGAACCUUCAUCCUAUAGUCAAGCAAUACAGGACUCUAGGUGGACAGAUGCUAUGCGAGAUGAACUAAAAGCAUUGGAGAGCAACAAUACAUGGAUGCUCACUCAACUGCCACAAGGUGCCAAACCAAUUCCCUGCAAAUGGAUAUAUCGCAUCAAAUAUAAAUCAAAUGGAGAAAUAGAGCGAUUCAAGGCCAGAUUAGUGGCAAAGGGCUUUACACAAAUUGAAGGAAUUGAUUACGAUGAAACAUACACUCCCAUAACAAAAUUGACAACUGUAUGAUGCUUGCUAUCAGUAGCUGCAAAGAGAAAUUGGCUGCUUCAUCAACUGGAUGUCUA